rnacentral:misc_RNA from 1 species
AUGUGUUUGAGCCUUCGGGUUCUUCAUCCCGACGCUGUGCGCCUUCGGGCUGCACGCUGAAGGAGCAUAUAUCCACCCCUGUGCACACACACGGUGGUGAGCUGGGUAACGGCUCGCCGCUGAUCUUUACACACGUCUAAAAGUCAUUGUAUGUUAUAUUGAGAUAAAAAACA